rnacentral:rRNA from 1 species
AGCGAACGCUGGCGGCGGGCCUAACACAUGCAAGUCGAACGAACUCUUCGGAGUUAGUGGCGGACGGGUGAGUAACACGUGGGAACGUGCCUUUUGGUUCGGAAUAACUCAGGGAAACUUGUGCUAAUACCGAAUGUGCCCUUCGGGGAAAGGAUUUAUCGCCAUUAGAGCGGCCCGCGUCUGAUUAGCUAGUUGGUGAG